UACCAGCCGGGGGAGCAGCGGGUCCCUGUACUCGAAGUCCGCUACAGCGAGGGUGGAUUCCCGAUCGAGGGCCGAAUUUGCGUAGUCUGAACCAUAUGGAAUGUGAUGACGGACGGGUCUUGCGCGAUUGGCGGCUGUGAACCAUGUCAGGUGGGGAACCAAGCAGCAUUAAGCAGUUUAGUCGAUGCGCCGCAGGGUAGCCUGUCCCGAGCAGGAAACCAUGGUGUCGUGCGUGGAUGCGGUUCG
rnacentral:SRP_RNA from 1 species